GAUCUUGGUAUGGAGAUCUUGAGGUAUAGUGGCUAUGGAUUCCAGAAGAUUAAGACAAGGAGAUCUCCGAAUUCAAGGUCAUCUGGGAUUAAAGGUGUGGUGGCACACACCUUUAAUCUGGGCUACACUUUCUGCUGGAGACUAUAUGAGGACAUUGGAAGAAGGGAGUCUCACUCUCACUCUUUCGCCUGUUUGUUGUGUGGGACUGAGCAACUGCUAGAUCCUUGGACUUCUAUUCACUGCUACUACUAAACCGCUGUUGGGAACUGGACUGCAGACUUUCAAGAUACAGUCCAUCAUGACAGAGAAGUCAAGGCAGCAGGAUCACACUGUAUCCACAAUCAGGAAGCAGAGGUGGAGGAAUGCACCCUGUGAGUCAGUUCAUCUUAUCUAUUCAUAAGGAUUCAUAAGGAUUCUAGCCAGGAAAAUGACAUCACCAUAGUGAUGGGUCUUCUUUCUUAAGAGUCUUCAUAUCCUUUUAGUGGUCUGAAAUUUGAUGUGACAUAAAAGGAGCCAAUGUCAUCCCAUGUCAGGAGGUGCAAGUAUCUUUAGACAGAGUGCAAGCCAGGAUUCCAAAUCCAGAUACUUGAAUAUAAAAGCUUUUCAGACAGACAGUGGCGAGAACAAAGGCCUUAAGGUGGUUGGUUGUCUGACAAUUCAAGCCUCAACAAGGAGACCUGUGACUUUAGAGACCGAUGAGGAUUGCCUAGAAGGGGGACGUGGCGCUAUUGUGAGAGAGGCAUCUAUUUGGAACCUGAGUGUGGCCCCUAGGAAUGAAGACCAAUCUCUGUUCAAGAGACCACUAGAAAAAUUGGCCUCAUUUUUUCUGUGACAACAAGAAGCUGAGUUCGGCCAACAACCUGCAGAAGUUUAGAAGUGAUCACUGAGCUCCAGGGAAAAGGAAGAAAGCUACCAAGACAAAUAAGUUUGGUGUAAAGUGGUCUCUGGUUCAGUGGCCAUGGAGAAGAGGAAUGAGCUAGCACUGAGUACUCAUUCAUCCUUCAUAAGAGAAUUUCAACUGUACGGUGCCACGCGAAGCAUCUUUUUAGCACCGUGAAAGCUAUGUAGUAGAGACGAAGCUUCCAGCUCUGGUCCAUCUUGAUUCUUCCAUGUCCUGUUUAAGUAUUUAUUUAUCCUCAUCUGCCUGGCAUUCCUGAAGUCUCCUUACUACAGUAAAGCAAACAAAUUAGCAUUUUAUAAAAUAUUUUCUAGAGGUAAGAGUUUUGUAACCCCAAAAUAAAUGUCCCUUUACCCUUA
rnacentral:lncRNA from 1 species